rnacentral:lncRNA from 1 species
GAUUUUUCUUCUUCUUCAUCCAUGCUCCAUGCCAUUCUUGAAGCUUCCAUGCCAUUUUCUCUUUAUCCACCAUGAAAUCAAGUUUUCUUCACUUUCCUUUCCAUGUUUUCUUUUCCUUUCUUCUCCAAACUUCUUGAGCACUAAAUUUACAGCCUUUAACCCCAAUUUCUAGCACAUCUAAACCCUAGGAGGAGAAGAAAGAAAAAGAGAGAAAGGAAGAAAAAGCUUGGUUUUGGUGAUUCAAGCAAGGAAAGGUAAGAAUUCUUGUUUUUGGCUUGAGUACUCUUUGGAAAUGAGUUAGUGACUUAGAGAAAUGUCUUGUGGCAACAAAGAUUCGCUGGAUUGGAGAAAAAUUGAUAACAUGUAAGCCAAUAAACCCAUGGGUACAUGAAGGACUCAAAGUGGAAAAGGAAAACGGUAAGCUUAACAUUAUGUUUUAAAGCCUACGGUUAGUUGAAUAUUGUGAGGAAUUAUGGUUGUUGAAAGGAUUUAUUUGCCUAAGCUAGUUGAAAAUUAUUAAGAUUGUAUGGCAUGUUGUUUGAAAGAAAUAAAAAAGGAAUAUUGUAGAUGGAGUGUCACGACCCGGAACCUCCCUCGAGCCAUGACAACUGCCGCGACAUCCCGAUUUACACUCAUUACCCUGAAUGCCAAUUGGAACCCCGCAAGGCUUACGUAUCAGUUUCUUGCCUUUCCUGUGAGCAAUCGCUGUUAAACAUUCUGUUUUAAACAAUUACCAAUCAUUUCCGGCUCAAGUAAAUCAAAAGACAAAAUUAUUUUAAAAGGAUUUAUAGACAAAUAUUACUAUUCAAAAUAUUGAUUAAAAUAUAGCAUUUUUAUAGAAAAUAAUAUUUAUAGAAACACGUUUAAGUAAAAUAAAUUCAUACAUACAAUAAUUUACAAUGUUAUAAUGUACAAUAAUAAUUACAAUGACAAGUGGCCCAUAAAUACGUCAAGUGUUGGAGAUAGUAACCUACUGUUUGUGAGAUAGAGGGGUUAACUGGAAUCCUGGACAAAAUCGGGUAUCUACAAGCUACCAUAAGCCUGAAAUAUUUGGAAAGGAGGUGGGUGAGAUUUUGCAAUCCCAAUGAGUAAACAGACAUUAUUAUAAAUAUCUAAAGACGAGUGAAAUGGAGGCAAGUUUAAAAAACAAAUCACAAACCAUUUCAUAAGGUUUUCAAUUUAUUUCUUAAAUCAUAAAAUAUUUGUAAUUUACCCAAAACAGUUGUUAAGGAUCAUGACUUUUAUUAUAAACAGGGUUCAAGCCAAAAACUAGUCCUCGAGGAUACCUUGGCCGAGGCAUCUAAUUGAGUCCGCCAAGGUUGUUAAGAUAGUUACAUGUUAAACACAUGUUAGUUUUGAAAACAAGUCGUUCCUUGGCGUUGGCCGAGUUACACAUUCACGUGGGGGUUCGAUGUGAAGUGAGCUCUAACACUACCCCAGGAGUUACCUUUCUCGCCUCUACAACCGAAGUAACUAUAUAAUCGUGUUUACCGUACCCCUCUAAUAGGCAGUCCAUGAAAACCCGUCACUGCAGUGACUAAACCCACCAAUUUUAAUAAAAUUUUGACAAUAUAACGUGGCUUUUAUUUAUUUACCCAGCCUGCAUAGUAAAAAACAGCUUGCAUAAAUUCCCAAUGCAAAUUAUAAAAUAUAGCCACUUAUACUCAUAUAUCAUCAGCUAUUCAUAGGAAAAUAUAUUUUUCAAGACAAUUAACAGCCUCCCAUUUACUCAAUUUCAUAAUCAAAAGUUUCUUAUUUCAGAUAAUCAACAUAAUAUAUUUAUUUGUCACAUUUAUUUCUAAAACAUCAAAAGUCCCAUUUUAAUCUCAUUUUCGUUUCAUAAAAUACAUAAAGAGCAUUUAAAAAUAAACUCUAGAUAAUUUACACUAAUAAUAGGUUUACUCACCGUUUGUACAAAUUAAAUGCUUUCUAGGUGCCCCGAUGUAAAACCCGACUGUAUAAACACAUGUCAUGACAUACAUGCACUGAGUAGCAUGUUAUUAUGCUAGGAAAGCACCUAAGAAUAGACGAAACCCGGUAUCGUACCUAACAGUACUCUUGAGUUGAUUUAACCUCGAACUAGUUCAAAUAGGAAUUGUAGAAUGAAAUUUAAUAUUUUAUAGUCCAAGAAUGACGAAAAAUGAUUGUUCGGAGUUCGAGGGUUCAUUAGGGGUAAAAUUGAAAAUUUUGAUGUUCAUGGGCAAAAAUCGUCAUUUUGCCACCUAAGAUAAUAAUUUGAUCAUGGAGUGAAAUUUUUGACCAAGAUUAACUUUUUGGAGUAUAAUUUAAUGAUAGGAAGUGAAAAUUUUCAAUUUCAGUAAUUUUCGGAACGUAAGGGCAAAACGAUAAUUUUAUCAUCUCGGGGUAAAAACCGUAAUUUUCACCACCCAAAACUUGUCAAAAUCAUAGGAUUUAUUUAUUUUUGGUAUGAACAACUAUGGUACGUUAAGUGGUGAAAAAUUGAAGUUUAAAAGACAAAAUUUUAAAAAUGGGCUAAUGGGAAAGUGACACAUGGCACUUUUUAAUGAUUUAAUAUUAUUUUAAUGAAACGUCAGCCCAUUUAAACCCCAUUUUAAGUGAUGGCCGGCCAUAAGGGAGAACAAGAGAGAAAAUAGAGAGGAAAGGAAGAAAAAAAGAAAAACCAAAGAGAAACAAGAAAAUUCAAAGUGGAAUUCGCAUUUUUCGCCCGUUUAGGCGUCUAACGGUAAGAUUUUUUGCCUUUAGCUUGAUUUCUACCUUUCCUAUGCCUUUGUUUCCAUUUAGCAUGCUUGAGGAGAGAGAUCUAAAAGUGACAUCAAGGGCUGGCUGAAUUUCACGGGAGGAGAAAUUGAAAUUUUUAGGUUUUGAUUUUUAGUUAAAUUGAUAGUUUUAGUUAGUUAAAUGUGUUUAGAAAUUAAAUUGGGCAAGAAAGCAUUAAAUUUUCACAAUACCCACCCUUGGCUGAAUCUGCAAUGAGGUACAAUGAUGAUGAUCUGAUUUUUAUUCUAAGAGAAAUGAAGAGAAAAUGAUGAAAAAUGAUUAAAUGUGAUAGAAAAUCAAAGUAGAAAAUUUACCGAGUUAAUGUCCCAUUUUUGGCCAAAUUUUCCAAGGAGGAAAGUGAACUGAUUUUGGUGAUUUUAGAAGGUUAUUGACUAAUAUUUAAUGGUUAGAAAUGUUGGAGAGAGAAUGGGAUGAUUUAGAGAUAAAAUGGAGCGCGUUAGCAAUUUAUUGGGUAAAGUGCCAAAAAUAGGUUAAUACCGCGUUUAAGCCGUUUUAGGCUAUUGCAUUUCAUACCAUGCAUUAGUAUAGGAUUUAAGUCAAUUAUAUAGUGAUUUAGCAUCAAUGUGGUGAAUUGGGUAAAUUUUGCAAUGUGUCUAGGAGGAGAGCCUUCCGAUAAAGGCAAGGAAGUCGUACCCGACCAACAGUGAUCAGGGCACCUAGGAAGCAUUUCAUCUGUACAAACUGUGAGUAAACCUAUUAUUAUUGUAAAUUAUCUAGAGUUUAUUUUUAAAUGCUCUUUAUGUAUUUUAUGAAACGAAAAUGAGAUUAAAACCAGAUUUUUGAUGUUUUAGAAAUAAAUGUGACAAAUAAAAAUAUAUUGUGUUGAUUAUGAAAUUGAGUAAUUGGAGGCUACCAAUUGUCUUGAAAAAUAUAUUUUCUUGUGAAUGGCUUAUGAUAUAUGAGUAUAUGUGGCUAUAUUUUAUAAUUUCAUUGGGAAUAGAAUGUAAGCUGUCUUUUACUAUGCAGGCUGGAUAAAUAAAUAAAAGCCACGUUAUACUGUCGAAAUUUUAUUAAAAUUUGUGGGUUUAGUCACUGCAGUAACGGGUUUCUGUGGAUUGCCUAUUAGAGGGUCACGGUAAACUCGGUUUCAUAGUUACUCCGGUUGUAGAGGCGAGGAGGGUAACUCUCGAGAUAGUGUUAGAGUUCACUUCACGUCGAACCCCCACGUGAAUGUGUAACUCGGCCAACGCCAAGGAACGACUUGUUUUCAAAACUAUAAUGUGUUUAACAUGUAAAUAUCUUAACAACCUUGGCAGACUCGGUUAGAUGCCUCUGCCAAGGUAUCCCUAAGGACUAGAUUUUGGCAUGAGCCAUGUUUUUAAUAAAAGUUAUAAGCCUUGACAACUGUUUUGGUAAAUUACAAAUGUUUUACGGUUUAAGAAAGAAAUUGAAAACCUUAUGAAAUGGUUUGUGAUUUGUUGUUUAAACUUGCCUCCAUUUUACUUGCCUUUAGAUAUUUAUGAUAAUGCCUGUUUACUCAUUGGGAUUGCAAAAUAUCACCCACCUCCUUUCCAAACUUUCCAGGCCUGUGGUAGCUUUUAGAUAUCCAAUUUUGUCGAGGAUUCCAGUUGACCCCUCUAUCCUACAAACAGUAGGUUACUAUCACCAAUACUGGGUGCAUUUAUGGGCCACUUGUCAUUGUAAUUAUUAUUGUACAUUAUAACUUUGUAAAUUAUUGUAUGUAUGAAUUUAUUUUAUUCUCACACUAAAAAAAUUAUUUAUGUAUAGUUCUAUAAAAAUUGUUUUAUAAGAAAAUAAAAUAUAUUAUCAAAUAUUUUUAUUUAGUUUAAUUAGCCAACUUUUCACUCUAAAUGAAUGAUUUAGAUUACAAAAAUUUAUUUUUAAUUGGCAAUGGAUAUUUUUCUACCAUACGUUGUUUCUUUAUCAGGUUUCAAAAUUUUUUGGUAAAAAUGACCAAAAUACCCCUAUGUGGCAAAAAUUUUAUUUUGAUUGUUUUCGAUCUAAAAAAGUUUAUAUUUUCUUAAAACUCGAUAUUUAACAACGAUUACUCACAGGAAAGGCAAGAAACUGAUUUGCUAGCCUUGCGGGGAUUCGAUUGGCAUUCCGGAUAAUGAGUGUCAAUCGAGACGUCGCGGCGGUUGUCAUGGGCCUGAGGGAGGUUUCGGGUCGUGACACUCGAUUACUGUUCGUCGGGUACGACUUCCUUGCCUAUACCGGAAGGCUCUCCUCCUAGACACAUUGCAAAAAUUACAUAAUUCGCCACAUUGAUGAUAAAUCACUAUAUAACUUACUUAAAUCCUAUGUUAAUGCAUGGUAUGAAAUGCAAUAGCCUAAAAUGGCUUAAACGCGAUAUUAACCUAUUUUUGGCACUUUACCCGAUAAAUUGCUCUAAAUUAAUUUUUUUCAGUUUCUAUACCUCAAAUGCACCCAAAUUGACUUAAUGUCCCCCAGUGUGGUGCAAAUUAUCAGUCUCGGUAGCAAAUUACGAAAAUACCCCUAAUGGGUAAAAAUUCGUAUUUUUGCUCCGAAAAUUCCCAUUAUUUUUCUAGGCUCAUAAUUCAUCAUUAUUCAUCAUAAUUCCUCAAAUAAACAUCAAGAUCAGCAGCCAAUAUUCCCCUGGAAAAUUUGGCAUAAUGGGUUUCAAUGGGAGAAAAUUAUUUCUCUAGCUUAUUUUUGCUAUAUUACAAUAUAACCUAACUAAAAUCACUUAAUUCAAUUAAAAUCAACCAAAACUCAAGCUCAAAACUCAUCCAUGGAGGUUUGGCCAGCAUGGGUGUCCAUACCUACUUUCUAAUUUUGUAUGGAAAUGACAAAAAAUGCAUGGGUAGUGAAAAUCACAAGGAAAAUCAAUGAAAUUUACCUUUUUAAUGCUUGAUUUCUUGAUUUCUCUUGAUUUUCCCCAAAAUUUUCAGCUAGGGUUCUUAUUUAUUUUCCCCCUUUUCUCUCCUGGUUUGGACGGCUUGAAGAAGAUGAGAAUUCUGAAAAUUUUGACCUUUUUGAAGGCUAAAAUAAUAAAAUAUUAUUUUAUUCAUUUUUUUAAUAUUUUAUUAAUUCCUUAAAUUCUAGCCAUCCAUUUGUUUCCAAAUUUUCACCAUACACUUGUCCCACAUAUCCAUAGCUUAGAUAAAAUUCUCAGACUUAUCCAAAGUCUUGGUGGAGUAAUUUUUUAAAUUUACACUUUUGCCCCCGUAAAAGUCAAAAAUUACAUUUUUGCCCCAAAAACUGAAAAAUUGCCCAUAGACAUAUUUUUCAUCCCUUAUACUCAUACCAUUCUCCAAUUUGUCAAAUUUGAUCUAAAUUCUCUCAAAAUCUCAAAUUUUGUCCGUGGGUGGCAAAAUUACGAUUUUGCCCCUACACUCCAAAAAUCACCAGAAUUAAACAUUUUCACUUCCUAUCAUUAAAUUAUACUCCAAAUAGUUAAUCUUGGUCAAAAAUUUCAUUCCAUGAUCAAAUUAUUAUCUUAAGUGGCAAAAUGACGAUUUUGCCCCUAAACAUCAAAAUUUUCAAUUUUUCCCCAAAUGAACCCUUGAACUCCAAGCAAUCAUUUUUAGUCAUUCCUGGACUAUAAAAUAUUAAAUUCCAUCCUACGAUUCCUAUUUGAACUAAUUCGAGGUUAAAUCAACUCAAGUGUACCGUUAGGUACAAUACCGGGUUUCAUCUAUUCUUAGGGACUUUCCUAGCGAAUAACAUGCUACUCAAUGCAUGUAUGUCAUGACAUGUGUUUAUAGGGUUGGGUUUUACAUGGAGGAUUGAGAAAGAAAGUAUUGAAAGUUAGAUAGAUAAUGAUGCAUGUAAAUUAGGAAAUAAUCAAGUGAAAGUGAGAAGGAUUGUUGCUUCCAUAUAUGUGUAUUAUGUGUAGAAAUAUAAGAUGGAUUUGGGCAAAAAUUAUUUAGAAAGGUUGAAGUAGGCACGUGACAUCAUAAAUAAGUUGUCGGUGAUAUAAUACAAGAAAUUUCGUAAGUAAUGGAUAUAAGUAAUUUUGGUAAAAAUGUAUUAAGAUAUGAGUUAAUUGAAGAUGGUUUCAUGAUAGGAUGAAAAAUAUAAAUUUGAGUAAGGAUUAAUUUAUUGAAGUGCUGCCCGUAUACGUAUGUAACUAAAUAUAUUGAGUUCGUAUUACUGCUAGGAAGUGAAAAGAUAAGGUUAGAGAACUGUGGUUGUUGCCAGGUGAGUGAACUUGCAUUUCAAAAUUUGCUUUGGGAAAUGUAAAUGUAUUUGGGUGAAACAUUUGAAUGAUUUUAACUAUCCUUUCUUUAAAAAUGUGUGUCGGGGGACAAGCCCUUGAUAAAAAUGUCUCGAUGUUGUGAAAAUGUGAAUUGUGUAAAAAGAUGAAUCCGUGUGCUCCUAUAUUAUGUUGGUAUGUAUGUAUAUAAAUAUAUGUUGUGCAUUGAUGAAUAAUGAUGAGUUGAUGAUGACCCAGCUAUGUGCGGAUGUAGGGAGUGCACA